GUAUAUAUAAUUUAAAUAAAAUAUUAAACUGUGACUUUAUUUAUGAGAUU
rnacentral:tRNA from 1 species